rnacentral:rRNA from 1 species
AUUGAACGCUGGCGGCAUGCUUUACACAUGCAAGUCGAACGGCAGCGGGGGCUUCGGCCUGCCGGCGAGUGGCGAACGGGUGAGUAAUACAUCGGAACGUGUCCUUAAGUGGGGAAUAACGCAUCGAAAGAUGUGCUAAUACCGCAUAUCUCUCAGGAGGAAAGCAGGGGAUCGAAAGACCUUGCGCUAAAGGAGCGGCUGAUGUCUGAUUAGCUAGUUGGUGGGGUAAAGGCUUACCAAGGCAACGAUCAGUAGCUGGUCUGAGAGGACGACCAGCCACACUGGGACUGAGACACGGCCCAGACUCCUACGGGAGGCAGCAGUGGGGAAUUUUGGACAAUGGGCGAAAGCCUGAUCCAGCCAUGCCGCGUGAGUGAAGAAGGCCUUCGGGUUGUAAAGCUCUUUUAGUCGGAAAGAAAGAGUCAUAGUAAAUAGCUAUGAUUUAU